rnacentral:lncRNA from 1 species
UUACUCACUGUGGGCUUACCUACUUUCCUCUAUUCUCCAGGUAAGGUCUCACCUGGGCAGAGUCACGCAAGGACUCUAUUUACUACACACUCGACAUUUGUGUUGAUGUAUCACUUUUCUGGAAGCCACAUCACUUUGGCAAAGCUUUUGAAUCUGUUCCCUAAGAUAACUGCUCCAUGCCUAUAGAGAUGCACUUGUCAAUUCUUUUAAUCCAAAGAAAAGAUGUUAUAUUUCUCCUGGACACUUAACAUUUUUACCAAAUAUCUGAAGACCGGGAUAGAAUGAAAAUGCCAUCUUAUUCAGUUUGAGAACUUUCUUCUCUCAACUUUGGACCUCUGAUUUGCCAUACGUGGUUUAUUGAUCACUCAGAACAACCCAGCUGGUCUUCUUGCCAUGUCCUGGUUUCACAAGAAAUCUUGGCUGGAGAAGUCCUCUCUCAAGCUACAACUUUUUAUGAGAGAGGUUCUUCAGAGCAUUGAAUUGUGAUGUUAGGGUGGUGUCUUAACUUAUUAAAUUUACCUUCAUAAGGGAAUCAAUAUCAUUAUAACAAUAUUGAGGAUGACACAUCUUGGAUUUAUAGAGAAACUUUCUACCAACUACCUGAUUGGGGACCAUCAGGGGAAGACAGGAAACCAAAAAAUAUAAAUAAUUUUGACAUCAGUAAUUUCUAUAUCUUUCUUGAGUUGGCCAUGUAAAAAAUAGAAAGUGCCAUGAUAUUAAUGUAGUUCUUGCACAAUGAGCUGAAAAAAGACUGUGGUUCAUUAAGCUUAUAGAAGCAAGGGUCUAAGAAGAACCCUUUAAAGGAUGUUUGGAUGGGCAUCCUGUCCUAGGAAGUUGAAAAGAAACCAGAGGAUGGGGGUUGUGGCAUGUGGCACUAGGUAAGCCUCCAUGGGGCUGAUUCUAGCAGGAGGAAAAGUUGUAAUGAUUGAGUGUCUAUAGAUGGUUGUGCAUAUUCCAUAUUCCAAAGGUGCAAACCUAACCACACUCUAGGAGCUGGGUAUUUUUUGCUUCAGAGAGGGAGAUUUUCCAUGGUCCUACACAAGUUGUAAGUGAUGGGGUGAAGCUUAUGGUCCAGGUCUGCCUGACUCUGUAUCCAAGGCUUUUGCCUCAGGUGACUGAAGGUGGCCACUGUAUUCUUAGUAGCACAAUAGGAUUUUUAGCUGUGGAAGAGACUCUGUCAAUCAUUUGAACAUCACUGCUCAUCCAUGAUACAGAAUCAAGCUCAGCAGUAAUCCAACUCAUUCCGAGUUAUCUCCCUGUUAGCUAUGAUGCCCAUUUUUCUUUCUCUCUUUAGGGAUAUUUAUGUAAAAACAUAGUAAUAAACAAAUAAUAAAACAUAAGUAAUAAAAAAAUCCUUUGUUUCUUAAAAUUGCAGGAAAGUCUGUGUUUGGCUUGAUUUUUCCCUGAAUCCUGAAAUGGUGCUGGUGGAAUCUAGAGAUACGUAGUAAUUAUGACCAAUGUUAGUUGUGAACAAUGUAGUAAUCAUGACAGCCAUGAACUGAUUUCUUCUUAGACUUCCCAUUUCCUUUCUAUCCAGCAAGUCAAAGGGAAGUUCACGUAACCCAUGAUUGACAGAAAUAUGAUGUCAAUAUGUUCAAUGCUUUUCUUGAUUGGUAAUAUAAAAAUAACUGUACAGCAAGUGUAUGUAGAAAUUGAAGGAACAUUGUAAAUCAAGUAUACUUUAAUAAAAAAUUUAAAAAAUAACUCCAGAGGGGCAGGAAAAUUCAAAAUGUGACAUGAAAUCAUAGAUUUCAGAUCUUGCCAGCUACCAAUUACCUAGAAUGGUGAUUAAGAUGUUACCCUAUGAUAUCCAACACCUUAUGGCAGCGUUUUCUCAUCUGGUCAGUUGAAAAAUUCAUUUGCUUCUCCCUAGAGAGGGAGAGGUUGGCCAGAGAGGAAAAACAUUCUUAUGAGCAAAAGGGAAGCAAUUUUCACCAUUUCGUAGUUUGUCUAUCUUUAAGGUGCCUUCUGUGUUCCAUACCUAAGGUUUCAUGUUACUUCAGGGAUAGGAUGAAGUUUAAGUUGAUAUUGAUAAUAUUUGUGGCUUUACUGAGGGAGAGAGACAGAAGUUGUUCAUCCAAGACCAUCACAUGGAACUAAUGUCUGGCCGAGAAAAGAAUGGUUAUAUCCAGCCACUUCUACCUUCCUGGUUGUCCUUACAUAACAUGCUAUUUUUUUUUUCAUUUUUAAAAGUUUUAUUGAAGAACUAAAGUUUUAUUGUUUAGAUAAUUCCUGCUGUACAACAAAGUGAUUCAGUCACACAUAUACACAAUCCAUUCUUUUUCAAGUUCUUUUCCCACAUGGGUUAUCACCAAAUAUUGGGUAGAGUUCUCUGUGCAAUACAGCAGAUACCUGCUGGCCAGUCAUUCCAUACACCUGAGUGUCCAUAUGCCAUGUGUGUUUUUCCUUUUCUGUUGAGAGCUAUCCUCCUUCUGAAAAUAGUGAUUUAUCCCUCCAAGCCUAGAAGGAUACUGCUUUGCUUUUAAUGGCAUAGGUCAGUUGCUAAGGAAACCUGUAACUUUAACAUCAGUGGAAGGCUCUGAGUUAAAGUAGACAAAAUUUUAGUGUAAUUGGAAUCUACAAUAUACACGAACAGUAGCAUUUGAUGAUAAAUUCUGUAUUAAUGAAUUGGACUUAGCUUCUCCCCAAAAGGCCACUGUUAGCCUUCUCACACAGGCUGAUGUUCAUUUUUUUAAAAAAAUCUUAUAAAAUGACCUCUUGGGAGGCUAGGCAAGAUGGUGGAAGAGUAGGGGGAUGCGCUCACCCCCUCCCACAAAAACAACAAAAAACCACACCUAUGUGUUAAAUAACUCACACAGAACAGCAACUGAAUGCCGCAGAAGAACUUAAACCUCCAAAAAUGGCAAGAAUCUCGUGAUAUAACUGGGUAAAACAAGAGAAGAGGAGAGUGAGAGAAGGGGAAUCAGGACCGGGUGGGCACUCCUGAAAGGGAACUGUGAAGGAGAAAGGGAACCCACACCCUGGAAAAGUCACCUAAUUGAUGGAAAGAUCAACUGAGUCAGAGGGAUCUCCAGAUGCCAAGAAAAGCGCAGCAGUAGGUCUGAGAUCUGAAAAGCAGAGUGAGAGCCAAACAGAUCAUCUGAAUUACUGCCGCAUUCACCCAAAACCGAGAUGCUCGGGUAGGGGCCAGGCACCAAGACCUAGGCUCUGGAGGUUAGUCCCUGGGAACGGGCUUGGGUUGGUGGUUUGGAGACAGCCUGAGGGAUUAGGAAGUGGAGCUUCGUGGGUGGAGGGAGCAAUACGCUAAGGGCUGGGGAGUGGAAAGCCACAACAGAAGGAAUCUGGGAGAAGGUCUGGAUCCUCAGGAGAGACAAGGCACCAGUGUUGGUUAGGGGAGAAGAGGAGGGGUGGGCUGCCAUAGAAUACUCUUUGUGCCCCAGUGAGCACACUUGUCUGCCAGCUAGCAGAGAGCAGUGCUUCCCAGUGCAUCCCCCCCCAACCCCACACGCACCUGACCUGAGGCCACCUGCCAUCCCAGAGGACUGGCCUCACUGCUCGUGGGAAGCCAACCACCUCCAGGGCUUUCCCUGGCCUGGCCUGUCCACCCUCUGGAGGUGCUGCACUCCUGCGGAGCAGCUGCCCAGCACUGCCCACCCCCUGGGACAGAUCCAUGGCCCAGAAGCACCAGGGCAAGCCCUGCCUGGCCAGGGGAAGUCUGCCUCCACCACAGUGUGGUCCUGCCAGUCCUGCCUGCCCUGGGGAAGUGCUCCUUUGCCUCUAAGCGACCCAGUUAGCCUUUCCCACCCUCAGGAGGUGCUUCACUCCUGCAGAGGCAGCCACCCAACACUGCCCACCCCUGCAAAGAGCUCUGCAGCCCAGGAGCAUUAGGGCAAACCCUGCCUAGCCACAGGAAGUGCACCCCCAACAUGGUGAGGUCCUGCCAGUCCCAUCAGCCCUUGAGAAGUCUUCCUUUGCUUCAGAGUGACCCUAAUAGCCCUUCCCACCCUCAGGAAAUGCCCCACUGCCUCAAAGAAGGCUGGCCAACACUGCCAGUCCUUGGAAAACACUCCACAGCAGUGCCAUGGGUGUGCACCUCCAUCAUGAAAAAGAAAAUAACAAGCAAGAUGAAGAAGCUGAGAAACCACCCCCAGUUAAACCAACAGGAGAACUCACCUAAAGCAGUCAACACUGAAACAGACCUCUGUAGUCUGACAGAUUGGGAGUUCAAAAGGGAGAUAGUGAAAAUACUGAAGGAAUUAAGAGAAGAUAUGAACAGUAAUGCAGAAACCCUCAGAAAGGAACUAGAAAAUAUAAGGAGGAACCAAGAAAAACUAGAAAAUUCAUUUGCAGAGAUACACACUGAGCUAGGGCAGUAAAAACCAGAAUGAAUAAUUCAGAAGAACGAAUCAGUGAUGUGGAAGAUAGAAUAAUGGAAAUCACCCAAACAGGGCAGCUGACAGAAAACCAAAUGAAAAAACAUGAAAGUGAUAUAAGAGACCUAUGGGAUAAUAUAAAGUGGGCCAAUCUGUGCAUAAUAGGAAUUCCAGAAGGAGAAUAAAAAGAUAAGGGGGUGGAAAAUAUAUUUGAAGAAAUUAUUGCUGGAAACUUCCCAAAUACUGAUUUCAAGAUACAGGAAGCACAGAGGGCCCCAAACAAAUUGAACCCAAAUAGACCCACACUAAGACAUAUUAUAAUAAAAAUGGCAAAAGUUAAUGAUAAAGAGAGGAUCCUAAAGGCAGCAAGAGAAAAGCAAAGUGUUAAUUAUAAGGGUACCCCCAUAAGGCUAUCAGCUGAUUUCUCUACAGAAACUCUACAGGCCAGGAGGGAAUGGCAAGAGGUAUUUAAAGCACUGAAAGGAAAAAAUAUGCAACCUAGAAUACUCUAUCCAGCAAGAAUAUCAUUUAAAAUAGAAGGGGAAAUAAAAUUUUUUCCAACAAACCAAAGCUAAAAGAAUACAGCAAUACAAAACCCAUUCUAAAAGAAAUGUUGAAAGGGC